rnacentral:rRNA from 1 species
CGGGUGCGUAACGCGUAUGCAACCUACCUUAUACAAAGGGAUAGCCCAUGGAAACGUGGAUUGAUACCUUAUGGUACUAUAAAGCUACAUAGUUUAAUAGUUAAAACUUCGGUGGUAUAAGAUGGGCAUGCGUAUGAUUAGAUAGUUGGUGAGGUAACGGCUCACCAAGUCAACGAUCAUUAGGGGUUCUGAGAGGAUUAUCCCCCACACUGGUACUGAGACACGGACCAGACUCCUACGGGAGGCAGCAGUGAGGAAUAUUGGUCAAUGGACGAGAGUCUGAACCAGCCAUCCCGCGUGCAGGAUGACGGCCCUAUGGGUUGUAAACUGCUUUUGUAUGCCAAGAAACCUGUCUACGUGUAGAUAGUUGACGGUAGCAUAUGAAUAAAGGACCGGCUAACUCCGUGCCAGCAGCCGCGGUAAUACGGAGGGUCCAAGCGUUAUCCGGAUUCAUUGGGUUUAAAGGGUGCGCAGGCGGGCUUGUAAGUCAGUGGUGAAAUCUUGCCGC